GCCUACAUGAGUAAGAACUCAGCUGUUAGAGCAUGAGGCUCUUAAUCUCAGGGUUGUGGGUUCAAGCCCCAUGAUGGGCA